rnacentral:rRNA from 1 species
AUGGGCUCUCUCAUGGCUGGAUGGAGCUCACACGCGCUCGAUGACGAUCUCAAAGCUCGUUUCAUGAGAAAUCGUUCGCUGACCAAGGAGGAGGUGGAGGCCUUCUGGAGGCAGCACAAGAAGCCGGCGCCGGAGGACAACGUCGACGGCGGCGAGACCGUCGUCGCCUCCUCUCCCCGCCAGGGGAGGUCGACUCUGUCUCAUGUCCGUUCGUCGCCGCCGGCGUUGACCAGUACCAGUAGCGUGGAUGGUGACGGCGAGGCUGCCGCUAGCCCCAGCGCGAGCCGCGAUUGGUGGACGAGGAGCAGCUGGGCGUUCCUCAACGAGCCGCCGCCGCAGCAGCGCCGCGAGGGAGCAGGCGUUGGGCAAGGCGCCGCCGCCGCCGUCUGA